CCUACGGGGGGCAGCAGUCGAGAAUCAUUCGCAAUGGACGAAAGUCUGACGGUGCGACGCCGCGUGGAGGAUGAAGGCCCUAGGGUCGUAAACUCCUGUCAUCAGGGAGUAAUUACUCACGUAGUAACUGACGUGGGUCUUGAUAGUACCUGAAGAGGAAGGGACGGCAAACUUCGUGCCAGCAGCCGCGGUAAUACGAAGGUCUCAAGCGUUGUUCGGAUUUACUGGGCGUAAAGAGUCUGUAGGCGGUGUGGUAAGUCAGAUGUGAAAUCCCGGGGCUCAACCCCGGAACUGCAUCCGAUACUGCCACACUAGAGUAUUGGAGGGGAGUCUGGAAUUCUCGGUGUAGCAGUGAAAUGCGUAGAUAUCGAGAGGAACACUAGUGGCGAAGGCGAGACUCUGGACAAUAACUGACGCUGAGAGACGAAGGCCAGGGUAGCGAAAAGGAUUAGAUACCCUUGUAGUCCUGGCAGUAAACGGUGCACGCUUGGUGUGGGAAGGUUCGACCCUUUCCGUGCCGGAGCUAACGCGUUAAGCGUGCCGCCUGGGGAGUACGGUCGCAAGAUUAAAACUCAAAGAAAUUGACGGGGACCCGCACAAGCGGUGGAGCAUGUGGCUUAAUUCGAUGCAACGCGAAGAACCUUACCUGGGCUUGACAUGUUAGUCGUAGAUUUGUGAAAGCUUAUCGUCACUUCGGGUGGACUAUCACAGGUGCUGCAUGGCUGUCGUCAGCUCGCGUCGUGAGAUGUCAGGUUAAGUCCUAUAACGAGCGCAACCCCUAUGAACUGUUGCCAGCGAGUAAUGUCGGGGACUCUGUUCGGACUGCCCAGAUUAACUGGGAGGAAGGAGGGGAUGACGUCAAGUCAGUAUGGCCCUUACGCCCAGGGCUGCACACGUGCUACAAUGUCCAGUACAAUGUGAACCGAUACCGUGAGGUGGAGGAAAUCCUGAAAACUGGGCUCAGUUCGGAUUGUAGACUGCAACUCGUCUACAUGAAGUUGGAAUCGCUAGUAAUGGCUCAUCAGCUACGGAGCCGUGAAUACGUUCCCGGGUCUUGUACACACCGCCCGUC
rnacentral:rRNA from 1 species